rnacentral:rRNA from 1 species
UGGGGAAUAUUGGACAAUGGGCGAAAGCCUGAUCCAGCCAUGCCGCGUGUGUGAAGAAGGCCUUUUGGUUGUAAAGCACUUUAAGUGGGGAGGAAAAGCUUGUGGUUAAUACCCAUAAGCCCUGACGUUACCCACAGAAUAAGCACCGGCUAACUCUGUGCCAGCAGCCGCGGUAAUACAGAGGGUGCAAGCGUUAAUCGGAAUUACUGGGCGUAAAGCGCGCGUAGGUGGUUAUUUAAGUCAGAUGUGAAAGCCCCGGGCUUAACCUGGGAACUGCAUCCGAUACUGGAUAACUAGAGUAGGUGAGAGGGGAGUAGAAUUCCAGGUGUAGCGGUGAAAUGCGUAGAGAUCUGGAGGAAUACCGAUGGCGAAGGCAGCUCCCUGGCAUCAUACUGACACUGAGGUGCGAAAGCGUGGGUAGCAAACAGGAUUAGAUACCCUGGUAGUCCACGCCGUAAACGAUGUCUACCAGUCGUUGGGUCUUUUAAAGACUUAGUGACGCAGUUAACGCAAUAAGUAGACCGCCUGGGGAGUACGGCCGCAAGGUUA